rnacentral:snRNA from 1 species
AAUCACUAAUUAACACGUG